UACGUAGGGGGCAAGCGUUGUCCGGAUUUAUUGGGCGUAAAGAGCGUGUAGGCGGCCAGGUAGGUCUGCUGUGAAAACUCGAGGCUUAACCUCGAGCUGUCGGCGGAAACCAUCUGGCUAGAGUCCGGAAGAGGAGAAUGGAAUUCCCGGUGUAGCGGUGAAAUGCGUAGAUAUCGUAAGGAAGACCAGUGGCGAAGGCGAAUCUCUGGACAGUUACUGACACUGAGGCUCGAAGGCCAGGGGAGCAAACGGG
rnacentral:rRNA from 1 species